AACGCUCAGAUCUCACGAGAGUUAACUCUAGCCCCGCAGGCUAGAGUUCACUCUCCACUGGACCACCAGGGAUGGCACAUGGCAGCAAGGAUUUACUAAUCUGCCAAAUCCCUCCAAACAUACAGCACACACACAUACAGCUCACACACACAGUACACUAGCCACACCCUCACAAACACACACAGCACCUUUAAAAAAAACACAACACCCUCACACAGCACACUAACAGCACCCUCACAAACACACACACACACAAACAGCACCCUCACAAAUACACGACACUCACACAAACAGCACCCCACAGGACAAACAUACACACACAAACACCCUCACACACAAACAGCACAGUCACAAACACACACACAAACACAAACACCCUCACAUCACACUAACAGCACCCUCACACACACAUCACACUAACAGCACACAGCA